rnacentral:rRNA from 1 species
GACGAACGCUGGCGGCGUGCUUAACACAUGCAGGUCGAACGAUGAUCCGGGUGCUUGCACCUGGGGAUUAGUGGCGAACGGGUGAGUAACACGUGAGUAACCUGCCCUGGACUCUGGGAUAACCCCGAGAAAUCGGAGCUAAUGCCGGAUAGGACCUUUCCUCGCAUGAGGUGGGGUGGAAAGUUUUUUCGGUUUGGGAUGGACUCGCGGCCCAUCAGCUUGUUGGUGAGGUAAUGGCUCACCAAGGCGUCGACGGGUAGCCGGCCUGAGAGGGUGACCGGCCACUCUGGGACUGAGACACGGCCCAGACUCCUACGGGAGGCAGCAGUGGGGAAUAUUGCACAAUGGGCGCAAGCCUGAUGCAGCAACGCCGCGUGCGGGAUGACGGCCUUCGGGUUGUAAACCGCUUUUAGUAGGGAAGAAGCCUCUUGGGGUGACGGUACCUGCAGAAAAAGGACCGGCUAACUACGUGCCAGCAGCCGCCGUAA